GUGGUGGCUCAGGGGUAGAGCGCUUGCCUCACCUGUGUGAGGCUCUGAGGUUCGAUUCUCAGCAGCACA
rnacentral:tRNA from 1 species